rnacentral:rRNA from 1 species
AGAGUUUGAUCCUGGCUCAGGAUGAACGCUGGCGGCGUGCCUAACACAUGCAAGUCGAGCGAUUUACUUCGGUAAAGAGCGGCGGACGGGUGAGUAACGCGUGGGUAACCUGCCCUGUACACACGGAUAACAUACCGAAAGGUAUGCUAAUACGAGAUAAUAUGCUUUUAUCGCAUGGUAGAAGUAUCAAAGCUUUUGCGGUACAGGAUGGACCCGCGUCUGAUUAGCUAGUUGGUAAGGUAACGGCUUACCAAGGCGACGAUCAGUAGCCGACCUGAGAGGGUGAUCGGCCACAUUGGAACUGAGACACGGUCCAAACUCCUACGGGAGGCAGCAGUGGGGAAUAUUGCACAAUGGGCGAAAGCCUGAUGCAGCAACGCCGCGUGAGCGAUGAAGGCCUUCGGGUCGUAAAGCUCUGUCCUCAAGGAAGAUAAUGACGGUACUUGAGGAGGAAGCCCCGGCUAACUACGUGCCAGCAGCCGCGGUAAUACGUAGGGGGCUAGCGUUAUCCGGAAUUACUGGGCGUAAAGGGUGCGUAGGUGGUUUCUUAAGUCAGAGGUGAAAGGCUACGGCUCAACCGUAGUAAGCCUUUGAAACUGGGAAACUUGAGUGCAGGAGAGGAGAGUGGAAUUCCUAGUGUAGCGGUGAAAUGCGUAGAUAUUAGGAGGAACACCAGUUGCGAAGGCGGCUCUCUGGACUGUAACUGACACUGAGGCACGAAAGCGUGGGGAGCAAACAGGAUUAGAUACCCUGGUAGUCCACGCCGUAAACGAUGAGUACUAGCUGUCGGAGGUUACCCCCUUCGGUGGCGCAGCUAACGCAUUAAGUACUCCGCCUGGGAAGUA